rnacentral:lncRNA from 1 species
AGACUACCGCAUUACCACUACCGUCCUUGGGAAAGGUUAUAGCGAAUAGACUAUAGUUCGGAACACCCAUGCGCGGUUAGUAUGGCUACUGGAUCGGCCGGAUGGGCCGCUUGGAAACGCUUCGGCUUUCCACUCUGGAGGACCCGGGUUCGAAUCUCGGGUCCCACCCCUGGAAAAUAUUUAUCACGGAGUCCGGGCUCGUCCGUCCCGUCCUCCUCCUUCCAGCCGACCCUUUUGUCGGGGUGAGCGACCGGUGGAAAGACCGGUUCGACUCCGUCACAUAUUCUUCCCGAAUGGAAUGUGCGUCAUCUGUUGAUAACCAAAGUUCGGCCACUGGUUCUAUCCCAACUUCUGAGUGACGAAAAAUAUUCAUUUAUGGUCAUCGAUGUUUUUAACGGGUACGGUGGAAUAAAUAUAAAUGAAAAGCCACACGUUUAUUCUAUUUGAACAAUUAUUUUAUAUUUUAAUAAACUAGAACAACAACAGUGAGAGCUGUCGGUGAUAAUUUUAGAAUGGCUGCUAGAAUACUUCGAUUUUAUCGGACCUACGGCGGAUUAGAUGCCUGGAUAUACAAAAAGACUCGGACAUAUCGAUUUCCACAUUAUUAUUAUCCAUCUUCACUCGGUUUUUUGUGCUAUGUAUGCGCAACUCGGGUGAAGUAAUUUCUGUAAAGUAGGCGAUUACUGAAUCUUAGAUCCGGUAUUUAUAUCCGAUAAUUUCGAAGGGACUUUACGGUGUGUGUAUAUUUUUUUGCCAACGGAUGACGCCACUUUCCACUCGGAGUACUAAGUGGCGGGCGAAACAAACCCUUCCACAGUCUGCCCACCCCCGCGGAAGAGGUCGGCC